rfam:Camelus ferus unplaced genomic scaffold scaffold1867, whole genome shotgun sequence.
GAGGAUAUAGCUCAAUUGAUAGAUUGCAUGCUUAGUAUGCAUGAAGUCCUGGGUUCAAUCCCCAGUACUUCCU